rnacentral:rRNA from 1 species
UCUGGUAGUUAUGGCGAGAAGGUCACACCCGUUCCCAUCCCGAACACGGUAGUUAAGCUUCUCUGCGCCAAUGGUAGUUGGGGGCUUCCCCCUG